rnacentral:tRNA from 3 species
GCCCUUGUAGUUCAAUGGACAGAACAUAGGUUUUCUAAACCUGCAAUGGAGGUCCGAUUCCUCCCGAGGGCA